UUUCAACAAUUUGGGGAGAUUGUCAUGGCAAAAGUUAUAAAGGAUCGACUGACUGGUUUAAGUAAAGGAUAUGGGUUUGUCAAGUAUGCUGAUGUUCAAAUGGCGAACACUGCAAUUGCGUCCAUGAAUGGUUAUCACCUUGAGGGUCGGACCAUUAGUGCCGCCGUGACCAGCGGCACCACCGAGAAGGACCAAUCCGGUGGCGAGGAGGAGACCACCAGCAAACGCCGCCGCCGAAAGAGCCGAUGGGACCCACAGCCAGACUCCAACGAACAAAACGGCUCCGAUUCUGGCACCAAGAAGAGGAAGUCACGAUGGGCGGAGGAGCCAACGCCGGUGUCCAUUCAUCUGGGAGAUCUCAUGGGAUUGGGAGGUAUUGAAUUAGAUAGCGAGAUUCCUGUUUUGAAUUCUAGGCUUUUAGAGAUUAGUAGGAUGAUGCAAUCUGGUUUGCCCUUAGAUGAUCGCCCCGAAGGUGCUCGAUCACCUUCCCCUGAGCCGGUUUAUGAUAACAUGGGUGUUAGGAUUAAUACUAGGGAAUAUCGUGCUCGUGAGAGGUUGCAAAAAGAGAGACAGGAGAUUAUAUCCGCUAUUAUUAAGAAAAACCCUGCUUUCAAGCCACCUGCUGAUUAUAGGCCACCAAAGCUUCAUAAAAAGCUUUAUAUCCCCAUGAAGGAGUACCCUGGUUAUAAUUUUAUCGGCCUCAUUAUUGGGCCGAGGGGGAACACACAGAAGCGCAUGGAGAAGGAAACCGGUGCGAAGAUUGUAAUUCGUGGAAAAGGGUCAGUGAAGGAAGGGAGGUUGCAGCAGAAGAGGGAUUAUAAGCCUGAUCUUUCAGAUAACGAGGAUUUGCAUGUUUUGGUGGAGGCGGAGACGCAGGAAUCACUUGAUGCUGCUGCUGGUAUGGUGGAGAAGCUGUUGCAGCCGGUGGAUGAGGUGUUGAAUGAGCAUAAGAGACAGCAGCUUAAGGAGCUCGCUGCUUUGAAUGGGACAAUCAGGGAUGAAGAGUUUUGCAGGUUGUGUGGUGAGCCUGGCCAUCGUCAGUAUGCAUGUCCUACGAGGAACUCAACAUUUAAGAGUGAAGUUGUGUGUAAGCACUGUGGGGAUGGUGGUCAUCCGAGCAUAGAUUGUCCAGUGAAGGGUGCUACUGGGAAGAAGAUGGAUGAUGAAUAUCAGAACUUCCUUGCCGAGUUGGGAGGUUCAGUUCCUGAAUCUGCAACAACACAAACCAAUGUGUUGGCAAUUGGUUCUGGCAAUUCUGGAAGCAAUCCUCCAUGGGCUAACAAUUCUGGCUCGAGUGGUGGUACACAGCAUGCUGGUUUAGGGUUUAAUCCAGCUAAAAAGGAAAUUGAUGAUACAAACUUGUACAUAGGGUAUUUGCCACCAACCCUUGAGGAUGAUGGUCUGAUCCAAUUGUUUCAACAAUUUGGGGAGAUUGUCAUGGCAAAAGUUAUAAAGGAUCGACUGACUGGUUUAAGUAAAGGAUAUGGGUUUGUCAAGUAUGCUGAUGUUCAAAUGGCGAACACUGCAAUUGCGUCCAUGAAUGGUUAUCACCUUGAGGGUCGGACCAUUGCGGUGAGAGUUGCUGGUAAGCCUCCUCAGCCUGUUGUACCUCCUGGCCCACCAGCAUCUGCUGUGCCCAC
rnacentral:lncRNA from 1 species